CUUAUAUUGCUUGAUUCACUUCCAAAAGAGGUUCGAAAUCAUGAAGUAUCUCCUGUAACCGGUGUAAUGGUUCAUGUUUCCCUUCCCUCGGCCAUUCUUCAAAAUGGAAAUAAGUUUAACAUACUGGAAGAUAUUAGCGGAGAUGUAGAUGUAGAAGGACAUCCUGGUGUUCAUUGUAAAGUUUCAGACCAACUUGACUCAUUU